rnacentral:lncRNA from 1 species
AUUAUGUCGAUAGCUCUGCCCAAAAAGAUACAUCCAUUGCUAUCCCUUAAACUUCACCCACUGUUUUCUAUCAUCUUCUAGUCUGGUCUCCUUCCCCAACGUUCUUCCGGAAACGAGUUUGGUAGAUUCGGGUCUUCUUGAACUAGGUAAGAGGUUACUUCGCUCGCUAAAGCUUCUUUUGCAAUCUUAUGGGCACACGAGUUUUCUGUUCUGGGAAUAUGUUGGAAUUUUAUUGUUUGAAAAUGAACACUCUUACUUUGAAUGUCCCGUAUGAUUGCUCCUAUUACUGAUUUAUCUGCUUCUGUUGAUUGACACUUUCUGAUUACUGUUCGCGAAUCCCCUUUGAUUUGUACUUCUUGAAAACCCAUUGAAAUCCCUAACUUAAUUGCUUCCAAUCUUGCGUAUGCUUCUGCCGCGAACGGAGAUGAAACAUUAUUGUGAAGGACCGCCUUGGAGGCCAGCAAUUCGUCCCUAAGCCCAAACCACCACUCUAGACACAGAUUUGAAAGUUCUUUUGUCAAACGCCGCGUCAAAGUGCACUUUAAUCUUUGGCAAGACUUACAUAUUUCUGUAUCUUCUAGCCUUAUCUGGGUUUUCCUGCUUUGCUAUCGUCCCCUUAUAACUUAGAAUUUUCUGUGCUAGUUGUCUUCCUGUUAUAGACACCUGCUCAUGUACAAACUGGUUUCUGGAAUACCAAGUUAGCCCUAAAGCAUAACAGAAAAGUCGACUCUGCUCCUCAGACUCUUUCAUGAAUACCCAGGUAAUCUAGUUCCAUAACUCAAAGAUUAAGUUAUUAUUGACCCAAGAGAGAUCUAAAAGAUGCCAAACUUCUAUACUUGUAGGACAGUGUCUGAAUAUGUGAGGGCAAUCCUCAUCCCUUGAGCUACAACGGAGGCAUUGGACGUUCGUGAGUACUUGUAAAUGCCUAAAUUUCAACGAUGUCGAAAAUAGUGGUUUUAGACCAUCAAAUCCGACAAAUGAACUCGUAAAUUAUAUUAUUUAAUAUUUACGAGCCAAAUGUAGUUUUUAAAAUAUUUUUAGAAUAGUAAAUUGUGUUUUAUAAAGAUUUAUUUGGUCAAGAAAUUAAGAAAAAGAGAUAUCGAGAUCUCGAUGUUAUAAACCGAGCUAUAAAUAUUUUUAUAAAUAUUUACGGAAUGUCAAUAAGGUAGUAUUAAAAUUUCGUUAGAAAAUUUUGACGUUUGGGUGGUCAAUUAAAUAAAAAGGAUUAAAUUGGAAAAUGUGUAAAAGUUGCUAAAAGGAUUAAUAGUUCAAUUGUCAAAUGAGGAAGGACUUAAAGUGAAAAUAAGCUCAAAGGAGAUAAUUUGGGCGGCAAUAGCUGAGAAAAAUCAGGAAAUGGGUGAAAUAAGGAUAAAAUUGGAAAAUUAUCAAAAAUAGCUAAAUAAAAAUGGGACUAAAUUGGAAUAUCUAGAAUUCUCUUUAUUUCUCUUCAUAUUCAUCAG